GUUUGUAAUUUUACAUAACAUAAAAUAUUUUUUACGGCGAUUAUAUAUUUUCUUACGGUCUCUUUUUGCGUUGGAAAUAAGACAACACUUACGGAACGUAAAAUUACGGUGCAUUGAUGGUAAAAUAGAGGGGGGUGAAGAAUAACUAUUCCUCACCCAGGGUGACGAAUAGCGCGACUAGGCAAAAUUGUGAAUAUCAAAACUGACCAUGGUCACAACUAUCACUGCCGAUAGGGUCUGCCCAGGGUGACGAAUAGCGCGACCAUAUAUAUACAUAUAUAUAUAUAUAUAAUAUAUAUAUAUAUAUAUAUAUAGGCAAAAUUGUGAAUAUCAAAACCGACCAUGGUCACAACUAUCACUGCCGAGAGGGUCUGCUCCAUGAUCCGUGCGUAUGAGGGAGAGGUAGAAAUAUGCACGCCUUUUUCUCAAUUUCGACGGCACUUCACCCACUGAUUCCCUGACACUUUCUGCAGCGGGCAAAGUCUUUUCGCAAGUGUCGGAGUUGGUGGUCUAGCAAGAGGCACAUGGAUUUUGUGUGGUCCGUGGCCUGUCACUGUUUCCUGCGUCCCAUACUUCGCUCACGGGUCGACACUUCUGAGAUUUUUGCAUUCGUGACUUGAGACGAGGUGGACCACCAACCCCUUUGAUUUUUUUACUUAACCAUAAGGACUUGUCAAUGUACUCGAUCCUCUUCACCGCCGCUCGCCAUAUCCAGCCAUGAGGACCCCUGUUUUUCUCCUUCCUCCUCCGUGACACCACAGUUGUUUUGCACUUCUGCCCUCGCGUCACGCCCCCUUCACUCCCCCAAUCUGGAGCACCAGAAGCAAGGCCCGGCUGGGUCUCCUACUCACAUCACUCCUCGCCACGGCGUCGCCCAACCUGCUCGUCUCCUUCCCUCUGGUCGCCCGAGCCGAGGUCGACGGCGAGCUGCAGGACGUCCACGAGCCCAUGGAGCAGGCGCUCGAGGGAGUAGUUCCCCUGCUCCCAUUCCUCUUCCUCGCCUCGUUGCCAUGGUCACUGGCCGCCACGCGCUCCAGAUUUGUUGUCAUGAAGCUACAUCGAGGCCGUCAACAUGCGUGAUGUGAACGACGACCCACCCCCGCUGUUUCCCCUCUCAUCAGGUGUGAUGCUUGCGCGUGAGUAAUGCUUGUGCCUUUGUGCUGAUUUUUAAUCACCUGGGAGUUGACUAGUUAGUUCGCGGUGAUGGACAUAUUGAUCGAGCUCAUUUUGUGGUCAUGGCCGAAGCACUUUUUUUACACAAGUAGUCUGAUCAUGGCUGAAGCACUUCUUUUUUGCACAAACAGUUUGAUAACGGCUGAAGCACUUAAGUGAGACAUUGAAGAAAAUGUUAUCUGAAUCAACGCA